rnacentral:lncRNA from 1 species
CAGUAUCGGCGCCAGCAUCAGCACAGCACCACUACCACUACCACUUCCACUUACCACAAGCACUACCACCACCACCACCACUUCCACUUACCACUUCCAUUACUACCACGACUACCACUAACCAUCACCACUUUCAUCUCCAUUCUUGUCAUUAUUGGCUUGUUGUACGUUGUUCAAAUGUUUCAACGUAUGUACAUUUGUGACUACGAUUUCUUGUUAGCGAUAUAAACGAAGAGGAUAAAGACUUUGGAGUAAAUAAUUUUGGCCGUGCCACUAGCAUAAUGUAUUUAUGCGUCUAGGUAUCCUGCGUCUCGGUAUCCUUAGCGUUGCAAGUGGAAAGUGGCUUCACACUAUAAAUGGUUGACACAGCUAAUACAUUAGACAUAAACUUUCUCAGCAUUCACGAACAGUAAAAAUACUAUUGGUAAAUGAUUCAUGGAUAUAUAGUAUUAGUAUUUGGCAUUCGUUUCGCUUAUGAAUUGUGAUUGAACCGAUAUCGUAUCAUCAUUAAAAGUUUCCUGUACAUCUUCUACAUCAUUCAAACAUGUGGAAGAAUCAUAAAUUUCACAAAAAUAAUGUCUCAAUCGCAUACGUAUUGUCUGCUCUGACUUGGCUUGUCUUCUGUAUGUGAUCCAAAUAGACGAGAAUGUCAAUCCAUCAUGUACGACCAAUCACACUUCCUAUAGCUGAAACCGAGUGCAAAUGCUUUUGUAGCAAUCAUGAUCUGUGCCUUUCCAAGUUAGGGGUUCCAAGACUCGUCAAAGUGAAUCUUUCAUUCUUCUUCAUUUAAAUCUCUCGUGUAAAUGGUUAUCAAGAUGUGAUGAGAGAACAAGUCAGGGUGGUCGAAAAGGAUGCUUAAUUAAUGUACGGUGAACGUUUCAUGUUUAUUCAUUGAAUCACCUUUCCAAAGUCUAUUAUUUUGUUUUUAUCAACAUUCGAAAAUUCAAGGGAAAGCUUAAAUCUCUUCUAAGAAUACAUGCAGAAACAAGAAAAAUGGUUUCCCGCCCAGUGGAUGCUUCUGUGAAUACACAAAAGUUUUGUAUGAAAGGUUAAAGCGGUUGUUUGGCACUGAAUGUAACUACCAAGGAAAAAGUAAUGCUAAGCAAAUUUAAUGAUGCAUAUAUAAUUGGGACAAUUGCAACAUUUGCAAUGUUUUGCCAAAGCGAAAUUGUAUCUUUCGUUUGCGUAUAAGGAAUGUGCCUCGUCAAAUUAUCAUCCAUCCCAGCUGAACAAAUACUGUCAAAGAUUUCAAAAAAUACCGUGAAGCAUUUGCUUUAUUAACGAUGUUACUCAAUAAAAAGAUAUUCAUUUGUGGCAUAACAAGUUCUCAAUUCGAUUCCAAGUACAUGGAGAGCGUAUGUUGAAAUUAAUAAAUCUAAAAUGGUGAUUAAGGAAGGAUUACUGUGCAUCUUUGAAAGUCAUUCAAUUCCUUAAUUAAAAACGACCAAUAUGCUGCGGUUCACCCUUAACAUCAUGUCUUUAACCAACGACAUCAUGGGUAGUAAAAUAAGUAAAACCAUAUUCAUAUUCUUUCUUAAUUUUCUCAAUUUUGAUCGUAUUUCGUUUUUUUCCACAACACCAGAUAUUAAAAUCGAUAAAGAACUUUUUCCAUCCGCAGUUGGGAGUACAUCAUUCCUACUUCGAUAUACUUUUGAAAGAGAAAAGUGAACCGAUUGGAAUUGUUUCGACAACACGAAUUUUACUUCUAGGUCAUAUAUUUAUGGCGAUGCCAAACAACAAUAUUGUUGAAACAGUAAGUUAAGCAAAUGGCUAAAUAAAUCCAAGACUGUUGUUGAGUGCUGUGGAUCUCAAUAUUAUCAGUAUCUACUCUUCUCGAUGAUCCUGUAAAUUUUUGUUAUCUUUUUUUUAUUUGCAGUUACUGAUAAUACUAGCAUUUUGCAUACUUUUUUUUAUUUGGAUGUUCUUCCAAUUGAUCAAUACAGUAACUUUAGAACUAUCAUCGCUAUGCCUUUAAAUGACCGCACUAAAAGCAUGGUACCGAAGCACUGACAUAACAGAGAGGUUCAGAAAGGAAUUUAAAGAUUGACUUUUUCGAUAAACUUCAUGUUACAAGUCUUAUCGUUUGUGUUUAUAAAUCAUCAGCCUCUCUCUAUAUCUCUAUAUCUCUAUAUAUCAGAUAUAAAGAUGCGAGUUUUGAAGUAGACAUUCCGCACAAAGUCUAGUACACCAUGUCUCUUGUGCUCAGGCUGGUUGUCCUGCAAAAAUGUACAACAGGCAAAUGGAUGUUUCAUCAAAGAUGGACUCCUUUGUCUCAUACUUAUUGAUGGCGAAGCUAGAUCCGUUAUCAUCUUGAGAAAACACAUCAUCGUCGUACUACAUUUUUUUUCUUACUCAUUGCUUGUUUAUCUACUACGAUUAAACUAUUACAAAGGAUAUCCAGGAAGAUGAUACACAAUGAAAACCGAUAUGUGGGUUGCAAAAGAUAAGCAGUCACCGCAAGAUAGAGUAGGAUGGGUUUAGAUGUUUUCAGUACCCUAAUGCGGAGUAAGGCUAAUCACGGUAUUUGUAAUUCCAUAUUAUAAGAAUAAAAAGUAUCGCAACGAUUUGAACUGUCAAUAUCCAUCCAUUCUGUCCAAAAUAGUAUCCUUGUAUUUGAGAGGAUGAUUUAGUUAUGCUUCUCAAAAACUAAAGCAAUUAUAGAUUGGUGUUUAUGAUUUCCAAAUAUGCGUUAGAAAAUGAUUUUUGUCAAUGUUAUUUUAAAACAAAAGAGCAUGGUGGUGGUUAUGGAGUUUAACAAACAAGAAAAAUGAACAUAAUGUCACAUUUCGUCCUCCUUUAAAAGUGUAAAAAAUCGAAUACUAUUCUCAACUUAAGUAGUCAUUAAAUAUAGAUGAUAUCGAGGCUUUCGGUUUAGUCGCCAAAUUUUACUUUGCGCAGUCUCUCGUCUAUGUUGCUUUUUUUUUGGAGGUGUUUUUACUUUUUAAAUUUCAAAUUUAUGAAAUUUAGGCGUGAAUAUUGAUGUUUUGAGAUUUUAUUGUGGGCACAAAUAUUUAUGGACUUUUACUUAAUAACUUUUCAAAACAUACACGAGAAUUUAACAGAAGGGACAGAAAUCGUUUAUUGAUUGUCGCUUUAUAAUUGAGGAUAUAUAUUACUAGCGUCCAUAGCAAUGUCAAAGUGUGUUAUUUCAUCAAGCAAACAUAUUUGAUAAAAUGCUUACUAUUACUUUACUUUGUUGAUUUUUGCUGAUCUAAAUCGACAUGUAUACUGCUUUGCAGAUACUGAUGCAAACAUGCUUAUGCAAGGCGACUGCUAAAUCGGCCCUUUUUACAUUGCUAACUUAUGAAUCACAUCGGACGUAAAAGCUGUACUGUUUUAUCGCUUUGAGCUGCAUAUUCAGUAGGAUAAAUAUUUACUUCAGUGUAAAAUAAAACAAAAUUUAAACUUUAACAACGUUUAUACUUAAAGUGCUAGUAUUUUUGAGAGUUACAGAGAAUUUAUUAGGUGCAAUAUUGCAAGCUGUUGAAAAUGCAAGCGGACUGAUAAAUUCUUGUUAAUACGCUGAAAUGUGUAACUAUAUUGACUGACAUCAUCGACAUCAAUUCACUAAGUUUAAACUUUCCGUCUCCUUUGUUGCCGCACUUGAUGUAAUGUUCAUACGGUAACUGUAAUCGAUUUAUUCGGCAACAUUGUUAUUCUAAGCUAAUUCAGCUCUGAUUGUCCGUGAGUGAGCGAGAAGAUAGCACCAUCAAAGGUAGAUCGGUAAUGUAUGCAUGAUAAACCCAAGUGAGUAUGGCGAGUGAGAUUG